ensembl:lncRNA
UCUCUCUCUCUCUCCGUUGUCAGGACUGUCUCUCUCUCUCUCCGUUGUCAGGACUGUCUCUCUCUCUCUCCGUUGUCAGGACUGUCUCUCUCUCUCUCCGUUGUCAGGACUGUCUCUCUCUCUCUCUCUCUCUCGCUCCGUUGUCAGGACUGUCUCUCUCUCUCUCUCUCUCUCUCGCUCCGUUGUCAGGACUGUCUCUCUCUCUCUCUCUCGCUCCGUUGUCAGGACUCUCUCUCUCUCUCUCCGUUGUCAGGACUGUCUCUCUCUCUCUCUCUCCGUUGUCAGGACUGUCUCUCUCUCUCUCCAUUGUCAGGACUGUCUCUCUCUCUCUCCGUUGUCAGGACUGUCUCUCUCUCUCUCCGUUGUCAGGACUGUCUCUCUCUCUCUCCGUUGUCAGGACUGUCUCUCUCUCUCGCUCCGUUGUCAGGACUGUCUCUCUCUCUCUCUCUCUCUCUCUCUCCUUUGUCAGGUCUCUCUCUCUCUCUCCUUUGUCAGGUCUCUCUCUCUCUCCUUUGUCAGGUCUCUCUCUCUCUCUC